UACGUAGGUGGCAAGCGUUAUCCGGAUUUACUGGGUGUAAAGGGCGUGUAGGCGGGAGUGCAAGUCAGAUGUGAAAACUAUGGGCUCAACCCAUAGCCUGCAUCUGAAACUGUACUUCUUGAGUGCUGGAGAGGCAAUCGGAAUUCCGUGUGUAGCGGUGAAAUGCGUAGAUAUACGGAGGAACACCAGUGGCGAAGGCGGAUUGCUGGACAGUAACUGACGCUGAGGCGCGAAAGCGUGGGGAGCAAACAGG
rnacentral:rRNA from 1 species